rnacentral:lncRNA from 1 species
CUUGAGGGAGAAGGAGGCCUGGAAUGAAGGCAAGGAUUCACUAUUAAUGAUAAAGCCCAGGAGGCCAGGUGUAGCUGUGGACUGAGACCAUACCUUGUGCCCAAUGUGGGGAAGGAGAACCAAAAAUGCUGCCUGCUUCCUGGGCAACAAGAGGGACUCGGGCACUGGGCAUUGUAAAAAAAAUAUGGUAGAAUCAGGAAGAGAAGCCAUAUUCUUCAGGCAUCCUGGCCAAGAAAUUUGUCUUACCCAGAUAGGAGAAAGCCUGAAUGCUAGCCCCAUGCAAAGCAAUAAGCCAGUGGUCUGUUAGGAGAAGUGACACGGGUGACUUCCAGGCUGAGAAAGUGAAGAGCCCUGUGUGUCUUUCCAAGCUCUCUCCCUUCCUGGCCAGUGUGGAGGUCCUGUGUUGAGAUGGCCAAGCCGCAAAUGGAAGCAGCCUGGAUUGUUAGAGUACCGCACAUGGGACAGCUACCCUG